GACGAACGCUAGCGGCGUGCCUAAUACAUGCAAGUAGAACGCUGAAGAGAGGAGCUUGCUCUUCUUGGAUGAGUUGCGAACGGGUGAGUAACGCGUAGGUAACCUGCCUUGUAGCGGGGGAUAACUAUUGGAAACGAUAGCUAAUACCGCAUAACAAUGGAUGACACAUGUCAUUUAUUUGAAAGGGGCAAUUGCUCCACUACAAGAUGGACCUGCGUUGUAUUAGCUAGUAGGUGAGGUAAUGGCUCACCUAGGCGACGAUACAUAGCCGACCUGAGAGGGUGAUCGGCCACACUGGGACUGAGACACGGCCCAGACUCCUACGGGAGGCAGCAGUAGGGAAUCUUCGGCAAUGGGGGCAACCCUGACCGAGCAACGCCGCGUGAGGGAAGAAGGUUUUCGGAUCGUAAAGCUCUGUUGUAAGUCAAGAACGGGUGUGAGAGUGGAAAGUUCACACUGUGACGGUAGCUUACCAGAAAGGGACGGCUAACUACGUG
rnacentral:rRNA from 1 species